rnacentral:rRNA from 1 species
UAGAGUUUGAUCCUGGCUCAGAAUCAACGCUGGCGGCGUGCCUAACACAUGCAAGUCGCACGAGAAAGGGGCUUCGGCUCUGAGUAAAGUGGCGCACGGGUGAGUAACACGUGAAUUAUCUACCUCCGAGUGGGGAAUAACUGAGAGAAAUCUUAGCUAAUACCGCAUAACACUUACGAGUCAAAGCAGCAAUGCGCUUGGAGAGGAGUUCGCGGCCGAUUAGUUAGUUGGCGGGGUAAUGGCCCACCAAGACGAUGAUCGGUAUCCGGCCUGAGAGGGCGCACGGACACACUGGAACUGAAACACGGUCCAGACUCCUACGGGAGGCAGCAGUGGGGAAUUUUGCGCAAUGGGGGAAACCCUGACGCAGCAACGCCGCGUGGAGGAUGAAAUCCCUUGGGAUGUAAACUCCUUUCGAUAGGGAAGAUUAUGACGGUACCUAUAGAAGAAGCCCCGGCUAACUUCGUGCCAGCAGCCGCGGUAAUACGAGGGGGGCAAGCGUUGUUCGGAAUUAUUGGGCGUAAAGGGCGCGUAGGCGGUUUGACAAGUCUGAUGUGAAAUCUCUGGGCUCAACCCAGAGUCUGCAUUAGAAACUGUCGGGCUUGAGUAUGGGAGAGGUGAGUGGAAUUUCCGGUGUAGCGGUGAAAUGCGUAGAUAUCGGAAGGAACACCUGUGGCGAAAGCGGCUCACUGGACCAUAACUGACGCUGAGGCGCGAAAGCUAGGGGAGCAAACAGGAUUAGAUACCCUGGUAGUCCUAGCCCUA